GUGACUGCGUACCUUUUGUAUAAUGGGUCAGCGACUUAUAUUCUGUAGCAAGGUUAACCGAAUAGGGGAGCCGAAGGGAAACCGAGUCUUAACUGGGCGUUAAGUUGCAGGGUAUAGACCCGAAACCCGGUGAUCUAGCCAUGGGCAGGUUGAAGGUUGGGUAACACUAACUGGAGGACCGAACCGACUAAUGUUGAAAAAUUAGCGGAUGACUUGUGGCUGGGGGUGAAAGGCCAAUCAAACCGGGAGAUAGCUGGUUCUCCCCGAAAGCUAUUUAGGUAGCGCCUCGUGAAUUCAUCUCCGGGGGUAGAGCACUGUUUCGGCAAGGGGGUCAUCCCGACUUACCAACCCGAUGCAAACUGCGAAUACCGGAGAAUGUUAUCACGGGAGACACACGGCGGGUGCUAACGUCCGUCGUGAAGAGGGAAACAACCCAGACCGCCAGCUAAGGUCCCAAAGUCAUGGUUAAGUGGGAAACGAUGUGGGAAGGCCCAGACAGCCAGGAUGUUGGCUUAGAAGCAGCCAUCAUUUAAAGAAAGCGUAAUAGCUCACUGGUCGAGUCGGCCUGCGCGGAAGAUGUAACGGGGCUAAACCAUGCACCGAAGCUGCGGCAGCGACACUGUGUGUUGUUGGGUAGGGGAGCGUUCUGUAAGCCUGUGAAGGUGUCUGUGAGGAUGCUGGAGGUAUCAGAAGUGCGAAUGCUGACAUAAGUAACGAUAAAGCGGGUGAAAAGCCCGCUCGCCGGAAGACCAAGGGUUCCUGUCCAACGUUAAUCGGGGCAGGGUGAGUCGACCCCUAAGGCGAGGCCGAAAGGCGUAGUCGAUGGGAAACAGGUUAAUAUUCCUGUACUUGGUGUUACUGCGAAGGGGGGACGGAGAAGGCUAUGUUGGCCGGGCGACGGUUGUCCCGGUUUAAGCGUGUAGGCUGGUUUUCCAGGCAAAUCCGGAAAAUCAAGGCUGAGGCGUGAUGACGAGGCACUACGGUGCUGAAGCAACAAAUGCCCUGCUUCCAGGAAAAGCCUCUAAGCAUCAGGUAACAUCAAAUCGUACCCCAAACCGACACAGGUGGUCAGGUAGAGAAUACCAAGGCGCUUGAGAGAACUCGGGUGAAGGAACUAGGCAAAAUGGUGCCGUAACUUCGGGAGAAGGCACGCUGAUAUGUAGGUGAAGUCCCUCGCGGAUGGAGCUGAAAUCAGUCGAAGAUACCAGCUGGCUGCAACUGUUUAUUAAAAACACAGCACUGUGCAAACACGAAAGUGGACGUAUACGGUGUGACGCCUGCCCGGUGCCGGAAGGUUAAUUGAUGGGGUCAGCGCAAGCGAAGCUCUUGAUCGAAGCCCCGGUAAACGGCGGCCGUAACUAUAACGGUCCUAAGGUAGCGAAAUUCCUUGUCGGGUAAGUUCCGACCUGCACGAAUGGCGUAAUGAUGGCCAGGCUGUCUCCACCCGAGACUCAGUGAAAUUGAACUCGCUGUGAAGAUGCAGUGUACCCGCGGCAAGACGGAAAGACCCCGUGAACCUUUACUAUAGCUUGACACUGAACAUUGAGCCUUGAUGUGUAGGAUAGGUGGGAGGCUUUGAAGUGUGGACGCCAGUCUGCAUGGAGCCGACCUUGAAAUACCACCCUUUAAUGUUUGAUGUUCUAACGUGGACCCGUGAUCCGGGUUGCGGACAGUGUCUGGUGGGUAGUUUGACUGGGGCGGUCUCCUCCUAAAGAGUAACGGAGGAGCACGAAGGUUGGCUAAUCCUGGUCGGACAUCAGGAGGUUAGUGCAAUGGCAUAAGCCAGCUUGACUGCGAGCGUGACGGCGCGAGCAGGUGCGAAAGCAGGUCAUAGUGAUCCGGUGGUUCUGAAUGGAAGGGCCAUCGCUCAACGGAUAAAAGGUACUCCGGGGAUAACAGGCUGAUACCGCCCAAGAGUUCAUAUCGACGGCGGUGUUUGGCACCUCGAUGUCGGCUCAUCACAUCCUGGGGCUGAAGUAGGUCCCAAGGGUAUGGCUGUUCGCCAUUUAAAGUGGUACGCGAGCUGGGUUUAGAACGUCGUGAGACAGUUCGGUCCCUAUCUGCCGUGGGCGCUGGAGAACUGAGGGGGGCUGCUCCUAGUACGAGAGGACCGGAGUGGACGCAUCACUGGUGUUCGGGUUGUCAUGCCAAUGGCACUGCCCGGUAGCUAAAUGCGGAAGAGAUAAGUGCUGAAAGCAUCUAAGCACGAAACUUGCCCCGAGAUGAGUUCUCCCUGACCCUUUAAGGGUCCUGAAGGAACGUUGAAGACGACGACGUUGAUAGGCCGGGUGUGUAAGCGCAGCGAUGCGUUGAGCUAACCGGUACUAAUGAACCGUGAGGCUUAACCUU
rnacentral:rRNA from 1 species